UACGGAGGGUGCGAGCGUUGUCCGGAAUCACUGGGCGUAAAGGGCGCGUAGGCGGCCUGAUAAGUAGGGGGUGAAAUCUUGCGGCUUAACCGCAAGGCUGCCUUCUAAACUGUCGGGCUCGAGCACAGUAGAGGCAGGUGGAAUUCCCGGUGUAGCGGUGGAAUGCGCAGAUAUCAGGAGGAACACCGGUGGCGAAGGCGGAUCUCUGGGCCGAUACUGACGCUGAGGAGCGAAAGCGUGGGGAGCGAACAGG
rnacentral:rRNA from 1 species